rfam:Neospora caninum Liverpool complete genome, chromosome Ia
CGCGAAACCAACAAUCACAGCACUCAUUCGUGGGUACUUCUCCACAAAAAAAAGCAAAGUUGUUUUUGUAAACUCUGACUGAACUGAUACCCCCUGACUUUCGAGACCCUGAGCACUUGGGCGGUGAAAGUCUACGUGGAUACUGUACGGUAACGUAAGUGAACUCCUCGACGCAGGCAGGUGCUCCGGGAAGCGUUGUCUUUGCUUUUUAACAGCCUUUUCUUUUAUACCCUGGAAUCAGUUUAGCUGGAGAUAGGGUUAGCUGGCUGGUAGAGCACCUUGGUUUCCAAGGUGUCCGGUGCGCUCCUGACUGCCCUUGAAAAGAGGAGGGAAAGUUGUUAUUUGCACCCCUGGCCGUACCAAUAACCGCAUCAGGUCUCCAAGGUUAGUAGCCUCU